rnacentral:rRNA from 1 species
AGUGAACGCUGGCGAUAGGCCUAACACAUGCAAGUCGAACGGCAGCACAGUAAGAGCUUGCUCUUACGGGUGGCGAGUGGCGGGCGGGUGAGGAAUACAUCGGAAUCUACUUUUUCGUGGGGGAUAACGUAGGGAAACUUACGCUAAUACCGCAUACGACCUACGGGUGAAAGCAGGGGAUCUUCGGACCUUGCGCGAUUGAGUGAGCCGAUGUCGGAUUAGCUAGUUGGCGGGGUAAAGGCCCACCAAGGCGACGAUCCGUAGCUGGUCUGAGAGGAUGAUCAGCCACACUGGAACUGAGACACGGUCCAGACUCCUACGGGAGGCAGCAGUGGGGAAUAUUGGACAAUGGGCGCAAGCCUGAUCCAGCCAUACCGCGUGGGUGAAGAAGGCCUUCGGGUUGUAAAGCCCUUUUGUUGGGAAAGAAAAGCAGCAGGUUAAUACCCCGCUGUUCUGACGGUACCCAAAGAAUAAGCACCGGCUAACUUCGUG